rnacentral:rRNA from 1 species
GAGUCUUAACCGGGCGUUAAGUUGCAGGGUAUAGACCCGAAACCCGGUGAUCUAGCCAUGGGCAGGUUGAAGGUUGGGUAACACUAACUGGAGGACCGAACCGACUAAUGUUGAAAAAUUAGCGGAUGACCUGUGGCUGGGGGUGAAAGGCCAAUCAAACCGGGAGAUAGCUGGUUCUCCCCGAAAGCUAUUUAGGUAGCGCCUCGUGAAUUCAUCUCCGGGGGUAGAGCACUGUUUCGGCUAGGGGGCCAUCCCGGCUUACCAACCCGAUGCAAACUGCGAAUACCGGAGAAUGUUAUCACGGGAGACACACGGCGGGUGCUAACGUCCGUCGUGAAGAGGGAAACAACCCAGACCGCCAGCUAAGGUCCCAAAGUCAUGGUUAAGUGGGAAACGAUGUGGGAAGGCCCAGACAGCCAGGAUGUUGGCUUAGAAGCAGCCAUCAUUUAAAGAAAGCGUAAUAGCUCACUGGUCGAGUCGGCCUGCGCGGAAGAUGUAACGGGGCUAAACCAUGCACCGAAGCUGCGGCAGCGACGCUGAUGCGUUGUUGGGUAGGGGAGCGUUCUGUAAGCCUGCGAAGGUGGCCUGUGAGGGUUGCUGGAGGUAUCAGAAGUGCGAAUGCUGACAUAAGUAACGAUAAAGCGGGUGAAAAGCCCGCUCGCCGGAAGACCAAGGGUUCCUGUCCAACGUUAAUCGGGGCAGGGUGAGUCGACCCCUAAGGCGAGGCCGAAAGGCGUAGUCGAUGGGAAACGGGUUAAUAUUCCCGUACUUGGUGUUACUGCGAAGGGGGGACGGAGAAGGCUAUGUUGGCCGGGCGACGGUUGUCCCGGUUUAAGCGUGUAGGUGUGUGUUCCAGGUAAAUCCGGUU